rnacentral:rRNA from 1 species
AGUGAACGCUGGCGGUAGGCCUAACACAUGCAAGUCGAACGACAGCACAGUAAGCGCUUGCUCUUACGGGUGGCGAGUGGCGGACGGGUGAGGAAUACAUCGGAAUCUACUUUUUCGUGGGGGAUAACGUGGGGAAACUUCCGCUAAUACCGAAUACGACCUACGGCUGAAAGCAGUGGAUCUUCGGACCUUGCGCGAUUGAAUUAGCCGAUGUCGGAUUAGCUAGUUGGCGGGGUAAAGGCCCACCAAGGCGACGAUCCGUAGCUGGUCUGAGAGGAUGAUCAGCCACACUGGAACUGAGACACGGUCCAGACUCCUACGGGAGGCAGCAGUAGGGAAUAUUGCACAAUGGGCGCAAGCCUGAUCCAGCCAUACCGCGUGAGUGAAGAAGGUCUUCGGGUCGUAAAGCCCUGUUGUUGGGAAAGAAAAAAUGCAUAUGAAUAUCCGCAUGUUCUGACGGUACCCAAAGAGUAAGCAACGGCUAACUUCGUG